rnacentral:rRNA from 1 species
AUACGGAGGAUGCGAGCGUUAUCCGGAUUUAUUGGGUUUAAAGGGUGCGUAGGCGGACGAUUAAGUCAGCUGUGAAAUGCCCGCGCUUAACGCGGGAAGUGCAGUUGAUACUGGUUGUCUGGAGUGCCGUUGCCGUGGGGGGAAUGUGUAGUGUAGCGGUGAAAUGCAUAGAUAUUACACAGAACGCCGAUUGUGAAGACGCCUCACGAAGCGCUAACUGACGCUGAGGCACGAAAGCGUGGGGAUCGAGUAGCAUUAGAUACCCUGGUAGUCCACGCAGUUAACGAUGAUGACUAACCGUCGGCGAUAGACCGCCGGAGGCCAAGCGAAAGCGAUAAGUCAUCCACCUGGGGAGUACGACCGCAAGGUUGAAACUCAAAGGAAUUGACGGGG